rnacentral:rRNA from 1 species
CGCCUACGGGAGGCAGCAGUGAGGAAUAUUGGUCAAUGGGCGAGAGCCUGAACCAGCCAAGUCGCGUGAAGGAUGACGGCCCUAUGGGUUGUAAACUUCUUUUGUCAGGGAGCAAUUGGGUCCACGUGUGGGCUUAGCGAGGGUACCUGAAGAAAAGGCAUCGGCUAACUCCGUGCCAGCAGCCGCGGUAAUACGGAGGAUGCGAGCGUUAUCCGGUUUUAUUGGGUUUAAAGGGUGCGUAGGCGGAAUAUCAAGUCAGCGGUAAAAAUUCGGGGCCCAACCCCGACGGGCCGUUGAACUUGAUG